rfam:Freshwater sediment metagenome lwMethane_C1842, whole genome shotgun sequence.
CCAAUCCCAUCCGGCACAGCGGGUCCGCAGCCGGAACCGAGUGUUGCGCGUGCCGCGGGUAACUGCGGGCGUCAAGCGUACACAGGGAGCAUGCAGGCCGCGUGAUUGAGCCUCGAAAGCGUCACUGCGUGGGAGCCGACGCCGUCGGAACAGGCGGAAGGCCGUGCUGCCGUGCCGAGAGGACCGGGCACGGCGGUCCCACCGGGGUCUGAGAGCG